rnacentral:RNase_P_RNA from 1 species
GCCGGCGGACGCGCGCUCGCCCCGAUGGCGUCGCGAAAGCGAGGCGUAUCGGGGAGGAACUUCCGGACUCCUCGGGAAUUAUGCCUGCCGAAAGACAGGGCCGGCGCGGCGAAAGCCGCGCCGGACGGAAAGUGCAACAGAAAAUAUACCGCCCUUCGCGGCUUGCCGUAAAGGGUAAGGGUGAAAAGGCGCGGCAAGAGCGCACCGUCCCGGCAGCGAUGCCGGGGCUGGCAAACCCCAUAAGGAGCAAGGACAAAGCUGCCCAUGGUUUCCCGGCCGUCCCCCGCCGCCGCUGUAAUGGCGGGGGGCAGGGCAAAGUGGUCCGCUCAGACAAAUGAUCGCGGCUCCGCCUACGCAGUACCGGCGGGGAACAGAAUCCGGGGUAUAGUCCGCCGGCUUAA